AGAACUGGGACAAAUAGUUUAAGAUUCGGCCUAAAACAAUAUUGAGGUCUAAUCAGAAUGUCUUACUUUGUUUAGGGACAGACAAAAAUGAAAAGAAAGGGAGAUAUUGCAGAUUUUUUUAUAAAGAGGCACAAAUCAGGCCCAGACCAGCCCCAGGCAGACCCCAGCCCUGAAACCAGCAAACCUGGCAGCUCCCACCUGGGCGCUAGCCAGGCAAGUCAACCCAGUCUACCACCACCAGGUCAGAACAUACAGAGGAAGUAAAUUCUCCAGCUUAUUGAAAAGUGAAGCCUCAACAAAUGACAUAAAUAAUGACUGGCCAGACCUGUGGAGUGCUAAACAAACAGAAGACUUCAAAUCCAAGAACCCCUGGUUGGGAUCCAAAAACAAAAAAUUAGGAUGUCUGGUCUGUAGCAGU